UCCUGCGCAUAUCCUCCUACCAAACCAAGAGGAAACCUAGCCGCGUUCUCCUCUGCGGCACGCAACCUUUGUCCCCUCUAGAUAUAGAACAACACGCCUCGUCCACCCAUACCUCUAGAAGUCUAGAUCUAGGCCCGACCUGUAGUUUUCUGAUCGUGUUCGCUUCGAUCUCGGGGUAAGCUGAGUUCGGCGUCCAUGAUUUGUUCCUAUCACCCGUUUGUUAUCUGAUUCUCAGGUUUCUCCUUCUGAUCGGCGAGUUGGGGCUUGCGGCGAUCUUGGAGCAUAGACGGGAGGCAAGCUGGAUCUGCGCACGGAAGCUUCCGAUCUGACCGGCUGGCGUCUCAGAUCUGCUGCUGGUCUGAUGCUAAACGGCGGAUCUAGAUGUUCCCGGCGGUCUCGGUAUGUUGCAGCGGCGGGCCCGGAGGGGCUCUCUCCGGCGAGUACGUGGGAUCCCGUCUGCUCCUCCACUUGUGCGACGACGGCCGACGGCUCUUUGUGUUGAUAAUUAUUCGAUGAUAUGUCGAUAAUUAUUAGAUCUAAGAGAUCGGAGGUGACGUAAGGUAAGAAGAUGUAGCAAGCGAGGUGCUUGUGGAGAGGUCGGAGGAGAGUGAAAAAAAGGAGAUGUGAACAUCUAGAGGCCUUUGCCAUGUUGGGUGCGCUCGCAUGGCAGGCCGCCACCAUAAUAAAGAUGUUUUUUUUGUCUCGGGGGGAGAUCGCACGGGGGUUAUCUUGUUUUAGCCCCGGGUUCUCCCCCCUGUGUGCUGGUGUGCUCCUUUGUCCGCACCCCUCGUCCGAUCCGACUACAUGGCACAACGUUCUACCGUCGCAAAUCGUUCAUGGAGCUACCCUCGAAAGACCAAAGCUUGAACAGCUGUAAGUGGUCCGUGUAUUACCCAAAUGAAGCUUACAGUACAGUUAUCGCUGCACCGUCGAAUGGAUGUUUCUCUCGUUGGAGCUUCGAUGGCUGAAGAGACGUGAAGAGCUAUUUGAUUCUGGACAAAUCUGUGACCGUGAAUUUCCACCGGCAGGAUCGUCAGAAGUACCUACUAAUCUGGAAAAUCAUUUAUUAAGUCAGAUGUACCUACUAAUCUGGAAAAUCAUUCAAUAAGUCGCAAUUUGAACAGUUUUGCUACUGUUGUAGCUUAAACAUUACAUCGAUUUGGUUCAUUGGUUUGUACAUAAUUUUUUAUUUUUUAUUUUGUGGACCUUGUUUCACAAUUUAUGGCACAGCUGUUGGUUUUAUUUAUUAGAUGAUAGUUGAUUUGGACAGUUUAGCGUAUGGCAACUAUUAAAUUGUUUCGUGAUUCAUUCUAUUUUGGAGUACUUAUUGUUUUAGACUCAUUCUUAAUUUCAGGUAAAUUUUGAAGUUGAGCAAACAUUAUCAAUUUAUAGUUUCUUUGUUCGGGUGUUAGAUCUAUUGCGGUGAAUAGGAUUGUGUACUUAAAUCCAUUCAAAUUUAGCUUUUGUAAUAUAGAAUUUAUGAACUUCCUAAUUUCACAAGUUUUUAACGUGAGUAAAUAUUGGAAAUUAUUUAUCAUAUGCACUUCAUUUUAAUACUCGCUGUGUUAACAAAUAUAAUAUGUUAUAUCUAUUUGUGUUAAUUUUUGAUCUAUAAUGUUCUGUGUGAUAGUCUGUACCAUUUCAAUUCGUAUGUGAAUGGAUACUAUUAUGGACAGUAAAUGUUUCAUAGAAAUUUCUGUUUGUGAUGGUUUGCUGUUGUGGAUCUUAUCUCUGCCUGGAGAGAUUCUCUGUGGAUACUGAUGUUCAGAUCCUGGAUGAAGGUGGUUCAAUUCCACCAAGGUUCUUUAGCGGUCUAAAUAUUGGAGCACUUACAAGUCUGAUUGUUGGAUUUAAUUAUUAUGUUCUGGAAGUACUUUUUUUGUAGUUUCUGAAUGAAUCUUUUGUGAUGUUGCAGGUUACCAAACAGGACAAUAUUCUUUCUCCUCUAACAAAUAUACUUGAGGAGUUGGGCCAAAAAAUUGUCCAUCUUUCCCCCACCCAGGGUCUGCAGUGAAAUUCUGGUAAGGUGCCCAGUUUGCUUUUCCGUGCUCCACCUUAGGUCAGAUCGAGUAUUGGGAAAGAAAUUGUUCGGAUAUAAAAAAGCACCACACAUUCUCUCCUAAAAUCUUUGGUAGCCAACCUAACCCACUUAUCGUCGUUUGAAUUUGAAAUCGUUCAAGAAGAUGGUGCUCCCUCCGGUUAAUUUGAAUUGUCUGAUCGAGUGUUAGUUAUACUUAAGCUAGUACAUUUGUAUAGGUGAAUGCAUCAGAACACUCAUGUUAUCUGUUUUAUCUAUGUAUUGUGAUCGUUUUUGAAAGAAGAGGAAAAACUCUACACACACCGCCAGGAGAAACAGGGUGAACUCGUCUUUCCAGGUAGUAUAUGCUCCUUGGCGCACAAAAUGUUUUUUGCAAAUGUCAAAAAACAUAUGAAAAAAAUUUAAUGUCAUUGUUGCACCAAAAUGCUAUCUGUCAAUUAACAAAUUUUAUAGUUAAGUUCGUUUUUUCCUUACAUUUUAUUUAUUAUGUAUUUUAAAUUUACUAUUCAUCCAGGAGCAUUAGCACCAUGCUCCCCAGAGCCAAAACGGCACUCCCUGCAUGCAGUCCUUUGUUCUUCUAUUUGAGGUUGAAUUGUCACGUCUCAAUGCAUAUAGGUUACGCACUAUUAUUUUUCUCUUGGCAAAUAGUGUGUAAGAACUUCCGUUCAAACACAUUCAUUUAAAAAUCACUCGGAAAAUGGAUAUACAAUAUGAUAAAACAAUGUAAAAACAUUAUAACAAUGCAGGAACACUUCUCCCAACCCUAGCCGCCCCUUCAUCCUCCCAAGCCGCCCCUCCUCACCCCGCCUCUUCUUCCCUUCCUCGCCGUUGGCGGCUUCCGAAUCUAGAGCGGCGGCUCCAUUGGCACGGCCAGCUAGCAGCUGGAUCUGGCGUCCUGGCCGUGUCGGCGUUGGGAUCCGGUGGUCCUUGGCGGCCGCCGGCGGCUUUUGCGGCGGUUGGUGCGCGUGAUCUGACGCCUCUCCUCCUUCCAGCCUGGUCGGGCCGUGCUUGAGAUGCUGCUUGUGCCAAGGAUCUGAGUUCGGAUGAAAUCCCUAGCCGACCAUGACCACCCAUGCCGACAAUGAUGCUAUGGCGUCCUGGCCGUGCCGGCGUUGGGAUCCGGUGGUCCUUGGCGGCCGGCGGCGGCUUUUGCGGCGGUUGGUGCGCGUGUCGAAAUUCUCUCUCUUUAUGUAUACCUUUCAUAUUAUGAAAGAAACAUUAGAAUUACUAAAAAAAUUAGUAUGCAUAAAACAUCAUAAAUAACAAUAAAAAAACAUGAUGCAAAAUGAACGUAUCAGACCUCCACUUAUGCGAGCCUUGGCAGGUCCUCCAUCAUUGAGCCAUCAUGACGUCAGACGACGACCUCACCUACACAAGUCCAUUUCCAAGCAACAAACAUAAAUCCAUACUAGGAUAGGGCCUUACUACCACCACUGUCGCACAAAGUUAAGGAUUUCGCCUGAAAAACAUAGGGGGAGAAGUGAGGAGAUCAGUCAAUAUCAAGGAAGGGAACCGCGCCCUCGAGCAUCGCUGUCGGCAUGGGUGGUCAUGGUCGGCAUGGGUGGUCAUGGUCGGCUAGGGAUUUCAUCCGAACUUAGAUCCUUGGCACAAGCAGCAUCUCAAGCACGGCCCGACCAGGCUGGAAGGAGGAGAGGCGUCAGAUCAGCUGAAAAUCUGGAUCUGAAAAAACUGCGUUAGGCUAUCUAUUCUGCACAAUUUCAAACAAACUGAAACUUUACUAAAAUUUUCUUGAAAUAUAUAAGAAAUAUAGGAGCCAAUAAUCAGAUGGGCAUAACCCACCUGAGCGCGUCAGGGAGUCCAGGCGCGCUCUGAUGGGUUGUGCUCAUCCAAGCCCAUCCAUGAUGCUCAUCUUUUGGUAUAUGUGUCAUUUUAACUUAGAAAAAAGAAGGUGAGGACUUUUGGGACGAAGCAUAGCCGUCUCGAAGCGGAAGUUGGGUAGGAGCAUUUUUGCCUUCCGGCAGAGUGAUUUUGUCGGGGAACAUCCCUCUUGAAAGGGGAAAUCAUCGUCAUCAUCAUCAUCAACAACUCUUAUUUUUGGGGAGGUUCGACACUCUUACUUAUCGAAAAGAGUUACAAUUGAUCCCUUAUUCUUGUGGGUCAUCAAUACUAUUUUCUGGCGCUGUUGUCAGGGAGUGAAGCGAUUUUGGUAAGUGGAAAUUGAUAAGGAAACAUUUAUAUAGUGUGCUGAAAUUUAUUGUUA